GAUAAUUUUAUGUAUUUUURUGUAUUGUUGUKGGAAAAUUGUWUURAGAGAUAAAAAUUAAAAAAUUUAAUUAAAUUAUAAUUCAAMUCAAAAUGUAGAAUAAUURAGAAUUUAARUGAGUCACAAUUAWGUAAAUAAUUGAAUUUUAUAAUUUAAUUUAUAAAUGAAAGUGGAUUUAAAAGUAAAUUUAUAAAAAUAUAUAAUUGAAA
rnacentral:rRNA from 1 species